CAGGAAGUAGUUUAAGUAAAAUAUUAAUUUUGGAGAUUAAUGAUAAAGUAAUUCUUUUUUCCUGA
rnacentral:tRNA from 1 species